rnacentral:siRNA from 1 species
UGAAUAUGUGCCUUGUGAUGCA